rnacentral:tRNA from 1 species
GGGAAUGUAGUGCAACAGCAGCACAACAGACUGCAAGCCUGAGGCCUUAAAGGUCCCAGGUUCAAUCCCUGGCACCACUA